AUCAUCCACUGUACAACACUGUACUUCAAUAUAAGUAAUGCCAUGGUUGAUGACAUGGUCCACCAAAGUUGCUCUUAUAACAUCAGAAAUAUGGGUCCGUGCAUGGCCUCUUCGACUCCCUCCUCCUCCUCCUCCUCCUCCUCCAUCCAUGCUUGCAAAGUUCUUGGAAUGGCUAAACUGAGGGCUUUUUGUAGUUGGCUAAUUGGUGUUCAGUUUUGCAAGUAAGUGCCUUCAGGUGUGUAUUUGAGUGGUUGUAAUUACCCGAUGUGUUUUGUAUUUUGGAUACAUGUGUUUUCCAAAUGGCACCCUGAAAUUUCAUUUUUGAACGAAGUGUCUUAUGUAUGAAAUAGAGUGUAGUAUGCAGGACCAUGUGUGUUGCAUAAAGGAGUAAGUGUGUUGCAUAAUUGCAACUAGAGUGCAAAGCAGCACUUUUGUUUAAGGUAUGGGUACAUGUGUUUGGGGUAUGGUAACAAAAGCUUCAAGUUGUGUUACUUUAGUCUAUGCAUGGGUUUAUAGUGUUCAUGCAA